ACCGGACUGAUGGUCGGGAUUGU
rnacentral:siRNA from 1 species